GGGGAAUUUUCCGCAAUGGGCGAAAGCCUGACGGAGCAAUACCGCGUGCGGGAGGAAGCUUUUUGGAGUGUAAACCGCUUUUCUCUGGGAAGAUAAUGACGGUACCAGAGGAAUCAGCAUCGGCUAACUUCGUGCCAGCAGCCGCGGUAAUACGAGGGAUGCAAGCGUUAUCCGGAAUUAUUGGGCGUAAAGCGUUCGUAGGUGGCUAGAUAAGUCUGUCGUCAAAGCAUGGAGCUUAACUCCAUUAAGGCGAUGGAAACUGUUUGGCUAGAGUGUGGUAGGGGUAACAGGAAUUCCCAGUGUAGCGGUGAAAUGCGUAGAUAUUGGGAAGAACACCAGCGGCGAAAGCGUGUUACUGGGCCACAACUGACACUGAGGGACGAAAGCUAGGGGAGCGAAAGGGAUUAGAUACCCCUGUAGUCCUAGCCGUAAACGAUGAACACUAGGUGUUGUCCGUAUCGACCCGGACAGUGCCGUAGCCAACGCGUUAAGUGUUCCGCCUGGGGAGUACGCACGCAAGUGUGAAACUCAAAGGAAUUGACGGGGGCCCGCACAAGCGGUGGAGUAUGUGGUUUAAUUCGAUGCAACGCGAAGAACCUUACCAGGGUUUGACAUCCUCGGAACCUUCUGGAAACGGAAGGGUGCCUUCGGGAACCGAGAGACAGGUGGUGCAUGGCUGUCGUCAGCUCGUGUCGUGAGAUGUUGGGUUAAGUCCCGCAACGAGCGCAACCCACGUUUUUAGUUGCCAGCAUUCAGUUGGGCACUCUAGAGAGACUGCCGGUGAUAAACCGGAGGAAGGUGUGGAUGACGUCAAGUCAGCAUGCCCCUUACAUCCUGGGCUACACACGUACUACAAUGCUACGGACAGAGGGCAGCCAACCAGCGAUGGUGCGCAAAUCCCAUAAACCGUAGCUCAGUUCAGAUUGCAGGCUGCAACUCGCCUGCAUGAAGGCGGAAUCGCUAGUAAUCGCAGGUCAGCAUACUGCGGUGAAUACGUUCCCGGGCCUUGUACACACCGCCCGUCACACCAUGGGAGUUGGUCACGCCCGAAGUGGUUACCCUAACCGAAAGGAGGGGGACCCCUAAGGCAGGGCUGAUGACUGGGGUGAAGUCGUAACAAGGUAGCCGUACCGGAAGGUGUGGCUGGAUCACCUCCU
rnacentral:rRNA from 1 species